AACGAACGCUGGCGGCAUGCCUAACACAUGCAAGUCGAACGAGACCUUCGGGAGUGGUUGCUCACGCGGGCGUAACGCGUGGGAACCUGCCGUUAGGCUCGGAAUUACUCCCCGUAAGGGGUGCUAAUACCGGAUAAUGUCUUCUGACCAAAGAUUUAUCGCCCUUGGAUGAGCCCGCGUUGUAUUAGCUAUUUGGUAGGGUAAAAGCCUACCAAGGCUACGAUCCAUAGCUGGUAUGAGAGGAUGAUCCGCGACACUGGGAGUGAGAAACGGCCCAGACUACUACAGAAGGCAGCAGUGGGGAAUACAGGACAACGGGCGAAAGGCUGAUCCAGCAAUGCCGCGUGAGUGAUGUAGGUCUUAGGGAUGUAAAGCUGUUUUACCCGGGAUGAUACUGACAGUACCGGGAGAAUAAGCACCGGCUAACUCCGUG
rnacentral:rRNA from 1 species